CCAAGUAAUUGGAGUAGACAAAGUGUCAGCCAGUCAAUAUCAGCCAUACUCUGCCAUCAGAGACUUCAGUGUUCGGACAAUAAGCACAUGAACAGAAAAAGAGGUGCAACAGUGGCUGGAUGAUUAUAAGAUCGACUGUUCCUAUUAGAAACUACACCAUCCAAAAGAGGCUGCCAUUGAAGAGCAAUAAAGUAGUUCGUAGAAGGCAUAGGUGAGGCAGAAGCUUGAAAAUGAUACCAUAUAAGG
rnacentral:lncRNA from 1 species